GCGUCGGUGGCUCAGGGGUAAAGCACUUGACUUGUAAUCUGUACGUCUUGGGUUCGAAUCCCACCAUGUA
rnacentral:tRNA from 1 species